rnacentral:lncRNA from 1 species
AUGCGGUUCUGACAGGGAGUUCAGAAAUCUGGAGCUCCCUCCUAUCAUACAAACCAUCAGAAUUUACUAUGGCCAGCUCAGAGUAUGAAGUAGCCAAAUCCCUUCAUUAAGGGAAAAAGAAACACAAUGGAUUCUGUAUGUCAGUUUUUUACUAACACAACUGAGAUUUGAAGUCACCUCUUCUUGUGACAUCUGCCUGUUAUUUUCCCAUAGUUUUAGGCACUGCCUUAGAUAGGCACAGUAAAGUGCAGAUGUCUGACUAUCAGGAAAAUUCCAUUCUGUCUGUAUAGAAGCUAUCACAAUUGCCUUUCUAAAGGCCACUAGUUUUAUAAAGUAGAAUUUUAGAAACUGGUUUCUGCAGGCAAUAUGAUAGUUUGUUAGACCUGAUCCCCAAAAAAGAAUUAAAAGACUUCCAUAAAUAUUAUCAAUUUAGGCAUUCAGGAGGCAAUAAGAAAUUGUUUUUGCUUUAUCUUAGUAAAUAAGUAAUUCCUUCAUACUCAAUAGAGAAAAAUCAAAUCAGACCAACUAUAUUGCCUCAAGUAGAGUUAAGUUCAUCAUUUUUUGCUGAGGUUAUACUAGUAAUGUAAUAUACCAUGGACGAAUCUAAUAUUCAGCCCAGGGUAAAGAUUGGGUCUGCCUGUGGAUUAGUGUCAGGGUGCUUUAUAGAAGUGAAACUUGACAGACAGGCUGGAGACAGAUCUACAGAAUCUCAUUAAACUGCUGAAUUGUUCAUUACAGAACGUUCUCACUGUAAUAAAGUGCUCAUUGACUUUGACAAAUCCCCAUCCCAUGUCUUAAAGAACAGUGAAGAAGAGGUGCUGAGGAAGAGAAAGGAAAUUGGCACAAAGUAGGGCAGGUAAUAGAAACGUGGAAGAAGGUAGUGCUAUUUGAUUAAUAUGUGCACGGUAGCUUAGGUGAAACACAGCCAACACACACAGGUUUACCCAGGUGGCUGUUUCACUACAUUGUGAUAAUGUAAUCUGGGACAAUCUCUUCUUCCGUGAAAGGACUAAUUUUCAUUAUAUAUCAGGAUGACUCUGAAGCCUGUCAUAAGAACCAUUAAAUUAAUCUUGUAGAACAAACUUUUCUUUUUUUAUUUACCUUUUUCUUUUUCUGUCCCUCUCCUUGAUAAAGUUUGCCACAACCUGCAAUGACCAUUUUGUGGACCCAUGAGCCAACUAAAUCUCCUCCUCAUUAUACCUUGGUUUUGUUUGUUUGUUUGUUUGUUUUUGUCCAUUUGAUUUUUUUUCUUUAGACAGGGGUUAUAUAUUCUCAGCUGACCUGGAACUCAGUAAUAGAUGAGUUUUUCCUUGAACUCACAGAUAUCCAAUUGCCUCUGCCUCCAGAGUGCAGAGAUUAAAGGUGUACACCACCAUACUCAGAUAGUUUGACCUGUUUGUUUGUUUGUUUUCGAGACAGGGUUUCUCUGUGCUGUCCUAGAACUCACUUUGUAGAUCAGGCUGACCUCGAACUCAGAAAUCUGCCUGCCUCUGCCUCCCAACUGCUGGGAUUAAAGGCUUAGUUUGACCUUUUAAAAACUCUUCUAUUUCUUAGAAUUUCUUAGUCUUAUCCAGACAGGUUUUCCUUCGUUUAGCCAAUUAUUGCUUGGUCUGUUGGUUAACUUCAUUAUGUUUUCAGAGGAAACAGUUUUGAACCACAGUUAUAUGUCAGAAGCUUUAUGACCUAAAAGAACUUUAAAUACAUAUCAUUUCAAAUUUACCUCAGUAUAGCUCAACAACUUGGUUUAUGUCUUGAGGACAAUGAUUUCUCAAGUUCCAAAGGAAAGUCACCAAAUUAUUAUCUUCAAAGAAAGAAGAAACACAACCAGCAAAAAAUGUGCCAGCCAGCACAGAGGAACUGGGGGCAUGAAAUCUCACUGUGUUGUCUCGCAAAUUUCUACCAGUUUGAUUUUGCUUUCAGGUCAGUGAGAACUCUUAGCUCUAACUCCAGAUUUUGUUUUAGUAGGGUACUAUUAAAUGUAUCUGGCUAGAGUGAAACACAGCCAACACUGUAGAGUCCUACGUAGGGGUCCUGCCAAAGAAGAUGUGGGACAAAGGGUUCAAAUUUCACAAAUUCUGAAGAUUAGAUACCUUACAAGGGUGGCAACGGACAUGCUAAUUAGACUGUGGUAACAGUUAUGCAACAUUUGUAUGUGUCAGUUCAUCAUGUUGUCUACCUUUAAUAUAGUCAGUGCUUAGUCGUCAGCAAAAUGGUUUUAAAUAAAUAAGCAAACAAUCUUGGAAGCCUGUUUGUUUUCUAAUG